UCGGCGCGCUCAGGCAGCCCAAGGGGCGCAGACUCACGAAGGCCAGGAUCUUGUCUCUGGGUGUCGCAGCCUCACGUGGGGAACGUGGUGCUUCAGUGGCGGUGCAACUGGCGGGUGGCGGUGGAAUCGUGAGACCUGGAGAAGCGGAAGGGCACUGGGAGAAGGACGCGGACGCCUGCAGGAAGUCAGGCCUGGAAGGCGCUCACAAAGAGCGGGCUGUCCUCUCAGUGGGCUGUUUCAGAGGGUGAAGUGUCCGUCAUCACGCUCGCUGUACAGUUCCUGAGGUGGCUCUCCAGGCCUGUGGCUUCCAGGAAGGGAUGUGCGGCCUUCACACAAGAUUCCCCCCAUGAAAUGUGACAUAAAGAAGAAUGAAAUUAUGGCAUUUGCUGGAAUGGAUGUGUUAUGGAGAGGCACUCUAGGAAACACUUAAAUGUGACAUGUGGCCCCAGAGUCAGUGAAGACUACCCAGUCACCACCCAGUUACCAGCUCAUUAUGAUCUCUCUCUCCACCUUAAGCCACUUUGAUAAGCAGGAGAAUAAGGAACACACACUUGAGCACACAAUCUGAUCUCUGCAACCUGAGGCCAGACCAGCAACCUACCCUUCUGGGGAGAUAAGUGUUCCUCUCUACUUCCUGUUACUGUCUUUCUUGCAGCCACCCUUCCUUCCCUAAUGGACUUGCUCCAUCACAGGAGCAAACUGAGGGAAUGCAACAGAGAACAGCUGGUGAAGGCUCCAGGAGAUGCAAAGCAAAGUGCCCAAACCCAUAUGCCCUUUCCAGGAAGGAAGGUGGAGAAGAGAGAGGUUGCCCUGCACCACCACUUCGGCUCCUGGGAAUAUACCACACAAACCUACAAAAGAAAAGGAAGAUUUGGUUUUCAUGUUUGAUGUCAAGAAUCUCUAGUCACAUAAUUGGACCAAAAGUUCCCUCUGGAAACCAUCUCAGCCUACAUUUUACCUUACAGAAGAGGAGAGAUGUUACCAUCUGGACCUACUAAGCUAAACACAGUCUCCCAAUUACAGAAUGUCAGGAGGAAUACAGGUCUCCCAGAUUCUGUUCCACUGUUUUUCUUACUACAGUAGUCCCCUCAUCCACAGUUUCAGUGCUCACUGGUUAAAUAAAACUUGAAUAUAUAAAUAGGAAAUUCCAGAAAUAAACAAUUCACAAGUUUUACGUUAUGCUCCAUUCUGAGUAUUUUGAUGAAAUCUCACCGUUUCCUUCCAUCUCAUUCCAUCAAUCCCAGAACAUGAAGUAUUCCUUUGUAGAGUAUACCCAUGCUGCAUGUACCACCUACCCAUUAGUCACUCAGUAACCAUAUCCAUUGCAGAAUUGUUAUUGCAGGUGCUUAUGUUCAAGUACCAUUAAUGGCCCCAAAGUGCAAACUAUUAAAGUGUAUUAUUAUUAUUAUUAUUAUCAUUUUACAUAUUAUAAUUAAUCUUUUACUGUGACUAAUCUAUAAAUUAAAGUAUCAUAAAUAUUAAUGUACAUGGAAAAACCCAGCCUAUAUUCAGAGGUUUUCACUUGCGGUUUUAGAACAUAUCACCCACAGGUUAGGGGGAGUACUAUAAAAUCAUUGUGACUCCUUAACUAAGGAAAAUUUUUAGAAAGUAAAAAUUUAAAAAUGCAUUGCUUUAACUUCUGAAAUCAGAGAGCUUACAAAUGAUUGUCAGUCAUGUCAUGUGUGAGACUGAUAUAAAACUGCAACCACACAGUUAUCCUCUCCAUUCACUUGCAUGGCUUUUUCCACCCUCUAAGUUUGUUUACUUCCUGUCACAAAUGGAUUUUGGCUCUAUGAAGAUGUGUAUUUUUAUUUGUUUUGCUUACUGCCAUAUUUCCAGGACCCAUCACAGUGCCUGGCACAUAAUAAGUCUUCAAAAACUACUUAUUGGGUGGCCAAAUGAAUAAAUACUUGCAGCUUCUCUUAAGGGGAACCAUUUCCACUUAAGUGACAUUCCUCGACAUCCUGACUGAAACACAGGAUCAACAUACUCAACAGAUAAUCCAAAGCCUAACAAAUCAUGUGUGUGUGUGUGUGUGUGUGUGUGUGUGUGUGUGUGUAUGUUUAUUUUUCUCAUCCCUCUUUGUCCCUCACUGGAACCUACUAGUUUGGCCAUGCUGGUUGUGGCCUCACACAGUGGACGAUGGGCACUGAUAUUGCAAGAAGUCAAAAAGAGGCAGGCCAUAAAAUGGUGUAAGCAAAAUACAGAAGCAUGCAUUAGGCCUAAGUCUAAAGCAACCAAAAGGGAGGUGUCAGCACUAGACUGAGAACUCCAAGCCCUCUGCUGAAGUGUCUACACUGGCUGAGGAUUUAAAAUAAUUUUCUCAUUCCAAUACCCAAGACUAUGACUCUAAUGCCUGGAUUCGGAUGUUGUGCCAUUUCCAAUUUCCCCACAUUGAUCUUACACAACCAGUCUUUGUAUGGCUAUCUUCUACCUUGUGCUGAAAAUCCUAACACCAGUGAUAAUUAUAAACAACUGGUAUUACCCAUAAAGCCUUCAUCAGCUUAGGUGAGAAAGUAUUCUACAUUGUGAGUAGUGUUCCAAGACAAAGUGAAUAAAGCACAUAUAGAAUAUAACUGCCCCUCUUCCAGUAUGCAUGGCUUUAUUUCUGUAUCUAGACACAUGCUGUUAUAAAAAUCUUUCACUGCAGUAUUUCAUUAUGGAUAGUCCAAUUCACUUCCUUUAAUAAUAAUCCAGAAGCAACCUGGAUUUACAAUCUGUAAAAUUUUUAAAAGACAGAUAAACGAUGCAUAAUUUAAAAGUAGAACCAUAAAAUUAUAAACCUUACAAUCAUGAUAACUACUUUUAAUAUAAGUGAGCAAACAAAUUCUUAACAAGUAAUUUUGUCUUAAAUUGUUAGACCAAAGGUAAAUACCAAAUUGUAUAAGCAGCAAUAAGUAAGUCAUUUUCAAUGAUGUUCAGAGAUGCCUUUUAUCUCCAUAUUUUGAAAAUAUCCAUAAUUAUAUUUACAAGCAGGGGUCACAGCUAUAUUUUAACAUUUUUUUUUAAAAAAAGGAAAAGUAAGUAGGAAUACGUGUAUAUUAUACUCAUAUUAAAAAAGAAGUAAUGAUAAAAAAAUAAAUAUAAACUAUUACCUAUAAUGGAACAGAGAAUAAAUUUAAAGAAACAGAAGCAAAGUCAAACCUGUUGGAAUAUAUCAUGUUACAUGUUAUUGUUAUUAGAAACCCAGAUUUCAUUGUUAGAGACAAAAUAAAAAUAUAAAAAAUUAAAUUUGAAUUGACAUUCUAAGAAUUCAUGACUUUUCAAAUGUAUUUCCUUGUUCUGCCUAAUGAAAGGGCUUAGAAGCAAUAUUGUCCUAAAUUUUGAGAUCCUAAAUGCCAAGAAGCAGGAACACAGUUAUUUGUAGUCAUAUUAUGCCUACUUUUCCAAUUAUUUAAACAUUGUAUAUUAAAAAAUGUAAAAAAGAAUAUUGGUGGGCUGGGGAUGUGGCUCAAGUGGUAGUGCACUCCCCUGGCAUGCACAGAGUGCUGGGUUCAAUCCUCAGCACCACAUAAAAAUAAAAUAAAGAUGUUAUGUCCACUGAAAUCUCAAAAUAAAUAUUAAAAAUUCUCUCAAUUCUCUCUCUCUCUCUCUCUCUCUCUCAAAAAAAAAAAAAAAGAACAUUGGUCAUUCUAAUUCUAGUAAUGAUAUCUGCAGGUAACAAUUGUAAACCCUGGGGCAUGGGUAAUGAUCUGAAGUCACUGAAGUGGUGCUCAAAGCAGACAGGUCCUAAAAGACAUUUGGUUCCUCAAAGAAGGAAACCUCACGAAAAUCCAGGUUUUCGUAGCUUUUCCCAGAGGACCUCCCACUGCUCUGACUCCUUUUCUUAAUGUUGGAGUGGUGGAAAGGCUCUUCUUUUUUCUCUUUAUCCCCAUCUCCUGCUGGCUCACAAUUGCCUCAGAGUCUAUGUAUAAGCUUUUCCUUUACUAGGAUAUUAAUUUCUGUCAACCCACCUCCAAAGUGUAAUGAACAUAUAGCCCUAUGUGAUUCCCAAUCUUAAAUAGGAUCUUCUGAGUGAGACAUUUCCUGACUUCCCAAACUUUAUCUGGUUCUGUUAAGAUAAAGAAAGCUUAUUACAGAAAUAAGGAAAACUAUUGUAACACACGCUUCCCAUACUACUGUUUACUUCCUCCUAUUUUCUGGUGAUAAAGGGAUACACCAAUUAAUUUUAGGAGGGGAAUAUCUACCAAAAUGUUCAAUAAAAAUGUUUAAUUAAAUUUAGUUACAUUAAGAUAAGGUGGUUUCAUUAUCCUAUGAUUUGAAUUUUCCCACCUACUUUUGAGAAAAUGGAAUAGACUUUCUACUAUACAAGAGUAUAGAAUAUAUGGAUUGCAUUUGCCUUGAAAUGUGGUUACUGCUUGCUACAUUGAAGUGUGAUGCUUAACAUUAUGUGUCAACUUGGCUUGAAUAAGUCUCAAAAUUUUGAUGAAAUUCCCUUACAGAGGUUGCUAUGAAGAUUUCUUUAGAUGUGGCUGAUAUUUAAAUAGAUUUUCAGUAAGACAAAACACCUGUCAUAAUUUGAUCCAAUCAUCUGAAGGCUUUAUGAGAAAAGACUGAGUUCUUCUAAAGAAGCGUGAUUCUGCUGCCAGACUUCCUUUAUACUGAAACUACAUCAUCAUCUCUUUUCUAGCCCACAGGAGUGCUCUGCAGAUUUUAGAAUUAUCAAUCCCAGCAAAUGCCUAAAACUAAAGCUGUAUCCCCUCUCCUCCCGCUACCACUCUCCUCCUCCUCCUCCUCCUCCUCCUCCUCCUCCUUCUUCUUCUUCUUUUCUCUCUCU